rnacentral:lncRNA from 1 species
CUGGCUAAGAGAGUAUUUCAAAUACUCUCCUGCUUUGUAUCUAAGUCUCUGCCAAACAUAACUGAUAGCGCUGAAUUUGAUUUCUAGCAAAAUCUGAAUAAAUGGCCUCCGUUUGUUUUUAUUUGUGUGGUCCUUGUAUAUUUCUAUAAUUUCAUCAAUUACUAGCUGUUUGAUAUUGGGUAUGUUAAAUUUUCUGUGCUUCAUUUGUUUCAUACAUAAAACUAAGGUAAAAAUAGUAUUAAUAAAUUAUUACAAUUUUAUUCAUAUCUUAAUUUUGUUUAAUUUGUUAGCUUUAUAAAGGAUCACUGUAACUAGUAUUCUUAUGGUAAUAUAUCUGUGUUUUGUAAAAUUAUGUUGAAAAUAUACAACCUAUUAGGAAACACAGAAACUACAUGAUAAAUUCUCCCUUGAAACCAACGAAAUCUUUGCCAGUAAAUAUUUAACGAACUUGAAAAGAUUUUUUUACAAAAAAUGUAACCCACCUAAACAAAGUUGUUUCUAUUUUUGUAACAGCUGCUGAGAAACUAUUUCUGCAUCUCUUUAAGGUUUUUUUCUUAAGUGGUUUUGUCAGUGUCAUUAUUUGAUAAGCUACCUCAAAUUACUUUUGAGAUAAGCAAAGUAACUAAUUAUACAAGAAAUGCAUGUUAAAAAAGUAAACCAUAAGGUGAGAAUAAAGUCCUUUCUGAUUACCACCCCAAAUCUCCAUGUCCUUUCCAUAGGUGAUCACUAAUAUUAGUUUGAUAUGUGAACUUCCUACAUCUUUCCUAUGAAUUAAUAAGCAUACAUACAUUGCUGAAGUCUUUUUACUGACAUAUUCCAUUUGCUCCUUGGAAAAAUACGCUUGCCUUAAUAUUCUGUUCUUUCCUGAUUACUAUCUUCAGUCAGUAAGUAUACUAUUUACUGAGAUUUUAAAAGAGAGUUUAUGGAUUAUCUAGAUCUAUGAUCAUUUUAACUAGCUCAAGAUUAUUUGAAAUGUCUAUUAAGAAAUAUCACUGAUCGAGACUGCUAUGAAAAUAGUAGUCCACAGAGAUGUCUGGGCCCUAUUUGAUAUUUUUCCCAUAGCAGCAGAGAUGAUAUAGGAACCAAUUUUAGCCCUGUAGGAGUAACAGAUUAACAUAUAAGUUUUUAGAAAGAAGAAUGUAUACCAGGCGAGCAUGAAAGAUCACAAAUGGUGGCUGAAUUUAGCACAAAUUAACUUCAGUCAUUCACUAAGCAAAACAUGUAUAAAAGUAAUGGCUAGCAUUUAUUAGUGCUUAUUCCUUGUUUUCUAAGUAUUUAUUAAUGUAAUCUUUUUAUCAAUCUCAUUUUAUAGAUGAGGCAACCGAUAUCUAGAAAAACUGAGUGAAUUCCCCUGCUUACACAGCUAGUGAACAACAGAUGGGAUGCUAUACAAAAUAUCCACAUUCAGAACUAAACUCUUAACUUCUACAUGCUGCUGCUUUUCAAGGAAAAUAUAUAUUCUUCCCAAAAUGAAUACCAAUAAGAAAAAUGAAAAAACAUACAUGAAACAUUUAUACAUACAUACAUAUGAAAAACCAGUGAGAAUUUUCACCCUUGCCAUAGGAAAUCACCGUUCUUGUGUGGCUGGGGAAUACUACCCCUUUUGUCAGUAGCUCUGCAGUGGAUUGUAGGUCAUAUUUCCAUAGUUAAUAUGACAGCCGUUUUGUUCUCCUUUCUCCUGACUAUAUAAUAUAGACUUGCAGCUGUAGAAUUUCAAAAAAUAACAUUCUUUUUUAAUCUGACUCAUAAAAUACAUGGUAAUCUGCAUGAAAAUGAGCAGGACUGAAUAUGGAAUACUCUUAAGCAAAAGAUGGCAAGCAUAACAGAAAAAGCUCUCUUAAUGCAGUCUGAAAUUAACAUUUAAUUUUGGAAUUAUCUCCAAAAGGGCAGGCUGAUUUUUCUACAGGUGCAAGCAAUAUGAAUCAUUAAUGCCACACCUCAAAUCUCCUAAAAGGAUCACUGGCCAGUAUUAACUAUAUUCAUGUUAGACUGAAAUGAGAUCAUAUCUGAUAUUCAGUUUUGAAGCUACAAUUAUGAAUGAUGUGAUUCAUAUAUGCAUCUGAAAGAUGUUAUCAUUUCCUUUUGCUUUUAAAAACAGCUUCAGAAAGUCAACAUUGCAUUCUCUUGGGGAGAAAGGAAAUGCUCUCAUUAAUCCAUGAACAGGAAUCACGUAGACUGUUAAAACUGCAGUGAAUGUGGAAAAAAUUGGGCUCAAUAAUGACAUUUGAAGUAAAACAGAAAGAUCUACAAUUUAUUUGCCAUUGCUGAGCACCGAAUGCACAGUUAAAUUGCAGUUAUUUGGAACAUAGGGUCUUUUCAAAAACAAUUGUUUGGCAUUGAAACCAUUUCCAGACUUGAAUUACGUGCAUCAAAGAUAUUUUCCAACUAUUUUCUGUACAAAGAAUGGAUUCAAGCUACAGUUGUUCGAAAGGCAAAAGGGCUCCUAACUGCCAAGUUCAAUUUCCAAGACUGUGGUAAAUAGAACAAAAGAGACCCAACUGGAAUUUCACCUGAGUUUUAGUGACCUUGCAGAAAACCUCUUUACAGCUUUGAAUAUUAUAUAAUUUCUCUCUUAUUAUUUUCUCCAUAUUAUUCCAUAAACUUCAUCAGGAAGCUGAUAUGCCAAAAUUCACUAGGAAAAAAACCCGAUUCCAGUUCAUUUAUCUGAAAUCAGUGCAGACCAAAGAGGUUUGUUUUCUGAUUAUCUUUAAGGUGAGCUCUCUCCUACAUUCAAAUGGGAAUCUAAAAGGAGCCAUUGUGUUAGUCUUGGUCAAUGGUAAAGUAAAGCUUGUAAUUUCUCUUAUUCCUAUAAGCUAUCCCUUGGCAGAUAAGGAUAUGAUGAUGAUAUUACUGACCAGAAUAGUUUUCUAUCACUGGGAACAGAUUCAUAUCAUUCUAAGUAAAUAUGAACAAAAGCUAGUAAUUACAAAACAUCUGAUUGUGGCAUGAUAAAUUCUUUAUCUGCAAAAUAGGGGAAAACUUAUUGAACCACCUGAGGCCCUAAAGCACAGUGUCUUCUCUCAUCUCUGAGUUUCUCUGCCCAACUAAGUUAGUUAAUUACAAAUAACCACUAAAAAUGACAGAUUUUAUUUAUCUAAGGCCUUUACUUCAGUGAUGUUAUUUGUGUCAUCUCCUUAAUUUACUCACUUAUAAUAAGGUAACUGUUAUACAGUCAUCAAUACUUUUAUAAGAGAUUUACUGAUAUAUGUGUUAAUUCAAAAAUAUUUGAGACAAUUCUUAUGUUCCAGAAAUUGUUCUAUAUGCUAGCAAAGAUGUGGUAUUAAGUGUUUAAAAGAAAAUGUAACAGGGUACAGAAAAUAGAGUGAUUCUGGCAGGGCUACUUUAGAUUAAUGUCAGGAAAGUCUUCUCUGAAGAACUCAAUAGAAAAGAUAUUCCUUAAAGAAGGAAAAGUUAACUUUGAAGUAACUGGCAUGAGAACAACCUCAUCAAUUUGGGGGAAUUCAAAGGACAGAGUAUGUAAAGUAUAGCAGGAGAAGGUAGAAAGACAAGAGAUUAGGCUGUAUAGUUUUUUGGGGGAAAGAUCUUAUAUGGCAUUGGAAACUUCGGGGAGGAGUUUGGAUUGUAUCCUAAGUGUAAUGGGAAGGCAGUUAGGGGAGUGACAGGAUUUGAUUUAUAUAUUCCAAACAUCACUUGGGUUUUGGUUUACAGAACAGAUUUGGUGGGGGAAAGCAUGAAAGAAAUUCUAUCAAUUAUGAGGUGUAAGGAGAGAGGAAAUAGUAUGAAGUAGUCAUUUGGGAAAGUUAACCAAAAAAUUAUUAGUAGGUGAACAAUUCAUGCUGUGGUGGUUUAAUAAUAGAGGCUAUAAAAUUAAACGGGUUUGAGUCAGUUUAUCUAACUGAUUUAAUAGUAGAGAAAAACUGAGAGAAACAAACAGCAAAUUGGGUCUAAGUUUAUAAACUAGCUUGAGUCAAUAAUUUCCUCUCUUUUCCUCUGUUCCUCUCCUAGGUGAUAUCAAGGAGGAUAGGGUUAAGCCUUACCUGGAGAUGUGGGUAAGUGGCAGGUAUGGCCCUAGCUCUGUUCUGUGUUGGGUUGGGAGCCAAUGAGGUGCCAUCUGUCUUUUCAAGUGUUUGAUGGCAUUCACUUCUGAGUUUAGACAUGACUAAAGGGAACUGGCUAAAUACUUCUUAUACUUAAUGGCCUAUGCGCUUUAAUGUCAGAACCCUGCUAGUUCACUGUUCCUCUCAGUGACUUCACAUUCUUUCACUAGGGUUCAUGGGAACACAUGAAGAACCUGCUGGUCCCAUAGUUUUGUAAACAAAGAAUCCUGACUCAGGAACAUUUAUCAAGCUGCCUCCCACACACACUUUCAAUUCCAUUGCUUUUGAGACAUAUUUUGUCAUAUCAUUUGGUACAUAUCCAAAUGCUGGGAAUCAGCAAGGAUAUGCAGCUUCCCCGCACUAUGUCUGACAAAGCAAGCAACUACCUUCAAUUGACUUUGACUCAUAUAUAUAUAUAUAUAUAUAUAUAUAUAUAUAUACAAAAAUUCUAACCUCCUAUCCCCCAAAGUGCAGUCUUAUGGAAGGGUGAUUUUGGUGAGGAUUACAGCUGGUGGCAAGAAUACUGGCAUUUACAAAAUCACUCUUCUUCACACUGGCCUAAAAUAAAACUCAGUAAUUUAGUUCACCAGACUGGUCCCUUGAAAUGUUAAUGGAAUAACAAAAUUUUAGAAGUCUUUUUUACUCCUCUAAAUAAACAAACCAAAAUAAGUGGCUUUUAAGACGCUUGUUAAAGAUAUUUAGAAAAUCUGCUCUGAACUCUGAGCUGGUUAAAAGUCUUUUUGUUCCAUGUCACAUAAAGCUUGUAGAUAAAAAUAUGUAAGAAAUGAUGAUUUCAGUGGGAAACAAAAAGUUAUUCUUGCAAGAACAUAAAAACUGAGAUAGUUUCUCAAAUGGUAAGCUAAAUGGUAAAAGGAAAAAAGUUGGGAAAGAGUUUCUAUUUUCUUGUCCUAGAUUUAUUUUUUUGGCUUUCUGG